rnacentral:rRNA from 1 species
AGUCACUGACAUUAGAUACCCCUGUAGUCCCAGCCGUAAACUAUGCUCGCUAGGUGUCAGGCAUGGCGCGACCGUGUCUGGUGCCGCAGGGAAGCCGUGAAGCGAGCCACCUGGGAAGUACGGCCGCAAGGCUGAAACUUAAAGGAAUUGGCGGGGAGCACAACAACGGGUGGAGCCUGCGGUUUAAUUGGACUCAACGCCGGGAAGCUCACCGGAUAAGACAGCGGAAUGAUUGCCGGGCUGAAGACUCUGCAUGACUAGCUG